UGUGGUUUCGUGAGCUUCUCCUUUGAGACCAACGUAGGAUGAUAGGAACCUGCUGGACUCAGCCUCUGGAAGGUCUCUUAUGGGGAAUUAGGAUUAUGAUGGAGACAUACAUCACUGUCAGGGUUGUGUGUGGGAUAUCAUCAUAUACUGUAAGUUUGUUAUAAGGCACUACAGUAUAGAUGAUGUACUAUUCCAAACCCAGAUGUACAUCAGGAUCCACAAAACGCAUAAGAAGAACAAAUAACUCCUAUCGUUUUUUGGUCAGAAUAGGACAUGUACCGUAUUUUGGACUGAAUUUCUUUUACAUUAGCUAUUCAGAUUCAUGCUCUUAUUUAACCUUUCAUGUGCAUAGCAUUCAAUUGUAGAGCUGCUGCAGGUUAGUGUAGAACUACAUUGGAGGUUUAUGUAUACAAAGCAAUUCUAGUGAAACAUUCAAAUUGUGGUUUUAUCAUCGUAACAACCAAUAGGAUAUUCCUGCCGAUUGCCCCACUUCCCAAAUUCUGCACCGGAAUUACCUUUUAUACAUAACUCCCAGUAAAUGAAAGUCUCAGGAAAGUUUAAGCUCAAAACACAUGAAGAUCCAAGAUCUGGAGCACAUCCCUGGCUAUGAAAAAAUACAGAUUAUUGUUAUUGUAUAGUGGAUUACAUGGAAGAAAGGAAAUGCCUGUUAUAUUGGUAUAUAUUCAGAAAAUCUUCAGAACAUCUUUGGCAUCCUCUGCACCAAGACAUCUCUCGUGGAGUGGCGGUGAAACCGUUACCAUUACUGAGUUUAGUAAUGGUAAGGGUUCUACUGCUGCUUCUACAUUCUCCAAAAAGACCUCCUGAGGAACAUCUUGCAAUGCUGGGUGUAACAAAUGCAAAAAAAACCUGUCUCUUCCUUUAUAUACGAUUUACUGUUGUACUAAUAAAGUAUUUAUUGCUGAUA